rnacentral:rRNA from 1 species
UGCGCAGGCGGGCUAUUAAGUCAGUGGCGAAAUCUCUCGGCUCAACCGAGAAACUGCCAUUGAAACUGAUAGUCUUGAGUAUGGUUGUGGUAGGCGGAAUAUAGCAUGUAGCGGUGAAAUGCUUAGAUAUGCUAUAGAACACCGAUCGCGAAGGCAGCUUACCAAACCAUUACUGACGCUCAUGCACGAAAGCGUGGGGAGCAAACAGGAUUAGAUACCCUGGUAGUCC